CGGCCGUCGCUUCAAGAGGAGCGUGCUCGUACGGCGGUGGCUCGCCGAAGGGUACGCGCGCGGCGGCGAGGACGUCCUGGGCAACAGCACCGACGUGAACGUCGCCGACGGCCACUUCGGGUCCUUCCUCGACCAGAGCAUCAUCUUCGUCCAUCCUGCCGACGACGACACGGCCGGAGAGGGAGACGACGACCACGAUGGCGGCGACCACCAGGCGGCGGCGGCGGCGCGGACAAAAUGCAGGACUCACGGCAUCGUGCACGAGUUCGUCCUGCACAAGUCCAUGGCCGAGAACUUCAUCCUCUCCUCCCGCGCUCCGACGCGCAAGAGCGUCCGCCACCUCUCCAUCCACGGCGGGAACACGACGACGACGCUGAGCACGACGGACCUGUCUCGCGUCCGGUCACUGACAGUCUUCGGCGACGGCGGCGACGCCGUCUCGAGCCUCCGGAAGUGCAAGAUCCUCAGAGUCCUCGACCUCGAGCAGUGCACCACCGCUCUGAGCGACAAUCACCUCGCCGACAUCUGCAAGCUCUGGAACCUAAGAUACCUAAGCCUCGGGAGCAGCAGCGGCAUCACCAUGCUCCCGGACAAGAUCCGAAGGCUCAAGCUCCUCGAGACGAUCCAUGUCAGCAAGAACAAGGUCACCGAGCUGCCAGUACAAGUCAUCGGGCUGCCAUGCCUAGCCCACCUGGUCGGAAAGUUCAAGCUUCUUCUCCCAGAUCACCAUGCGAGGAUGACGACAGCAGUGAAUAUCAGCAGCGAGCUCCUCGAGCUCGCGAAGAAGAGCAAGCUCGAGACGCUCACCGGCUUCGUCGCCGACGAGAACGAGCAGGCGUUCCCGAGGCUGAUGAGCAACAUGCGGAAGCUGAGCAAGGUCAAGAUAUGGUGCGAGUUCACGGAACCACAAGGCGGCGGCAGCAAUGUCUCGACGCCGGCGGCGGCGACAACCGACCACCUCGCGGAUGCUAUCCGGAGCUACAUCGAGGCGCCCAAGGUUGAAGAGACCGACGCCCGGUCGCUGUCCAUCGACACGGCGCAGUGCUCGAAGCGGCUCAUCCGUUCGUGCCAUGGAGAGAGCAAGUUCUUGCACUCCCUCAAGCCCCCAUGCCGCAGCUACCUCACCUCGCUGAAGCUCCACGGCGACCUGUUCCGGCUGCACGGCCUCAUCUCCAUGCUCAACAACCUCAACGACCUCUGCCUCUCGUCGACGACGACGACGCUGACCCGGGACCUCGCGUCAGCCAUCGGCGGGCUGCCGCUGCUGCUCGGCCUCAAGCUGAUCGCGCAUCGCAUCGAGCCCUUGGAGAUAAAACGCGACCAGUUCCGCAGCCUGAAGCACCUGCUCCUCGCCGUGCAGCACCCGGUGCUGCCGGAGAUCGAGCAGGGCGCGCUGCGGCAGCUCGUCACACUCGGGCUGCUCUGCGAGCGCCUCUCCGGCAUGGUGCAGAUCAGGCACCUCGAGCGCCUCAGGGAGGUGGGCCUCGACGCCCGCGUGGGCGAGGCGACGCGGCGGGAGUGGGAGGCGGAGGCCAGGAGGCACCCGAACCUGCCCACCGUCUUGCUGCUCAGGAACACGUACAGCGUUGUGCUGUCUGACGAAACUGACGGAAGGGAUGUUGAUGGUGCUCAGAAUGGUGGCGAUGAGGCUGCUGGGAUUGCAGCUGCUCCUGAGAGAUCUUCACCUGAUGCUGCUGCUGCUGCUGUGGAGGGAUCAGAGAGCAGCAGCGUUGUGCAGGUGGGAUCAGCAGGCAGUGCGUUCCAGUUGAGUGGUGGUGAGUCUGGUGACCUGACCAAGCCUACUCUGAAUAAUUCAGUCGCUGUAGUAGAGGAGACGGCGCCUGAUGCUCAAGAGGUCUCCAGCAGUGUGAAAUUCACAAAGUCAUAUUAUGAAGACUGCUGCCCCUGCUGAGGUAAACUUUAAGAAUCGACGUGUUACUUUUUUUUCUUUAUUCGACACGGUUGACUUUUCUAUUUAUGUUUUUAUCAUUCAUCUUAUUUGAAAAAUUAUGCAAAUAUGUAAAACAAUAAAUAAUGCUUAAAGUUCCUUUAGGAGCAAAUAAAAGUAUAGGAAAAUAAUUAAUAAUUAUAUAAAUUUUUUAAAUAAGAUGAACAGUUAAAUAUAUAUCCAAAAGGCAACUGCGUAAAAAUAAAAAAACAGUAAAGAGUAUAUAUGUAAAAAACAGUAAAGAGUAUAUAUGUAUGACUAAACGCGACCGAUUAGUCGUAUACUGGAGACCUCACUGGGCACUACCUAUUGCAAUACUGUUCAAACAAGCUGAUAAAAUAAUAACAUAAUGAAAAUACUUCUCAAAACAAAAUAUUCUAUGCACAUUUGUGACUACUCCCUCCCCUUAAAUAUAUGUGUUGUUUGACUUUCCAAUGAUCUUUGAGGUGCAACUUUGGUGAUAAAAAUAUUUGUUACUACCUCUGUUUCAUAAUAUAAGAUGUUUGACUUUUUUGUUGCAACGUUUGACCAUUCGUCUUAUUCAAAAAUUUAGUACAAAUAUAAAAAUUAACAAGUCGUGCUUAAAGUUUUUUUUGAUAAUAAAGUUAGUCACAAACAAAAUAAAUGAUAUUUUCAUAAUUUUUUGAAUAAGAUAAAUGGUUAAACAUUGCAAGCAAAAAAGUCAAACAUCUUACAUUAUGAAACGGAGGGAGUAGUAUAGUUGAGGCCCCAUUUGAUUUAAAAGAAAUUUAUAUGAAUUUUAGAGGAUUUCAUUCCUACAGGGUUUUUCCUACAAAAACAUUUGAAUCAAAAAAAUGAACCUUAUAAAAUCCUAUGAAAUUUCUAUGGAAUGUCUCUUUCCAUACAAGUUUUGGAGGAAAUUUAACAAAAGGUAGAACCUCAUGGAAAAAUCCUUUGAGUAUUUAUCUCUCCUCAAAUUCCUGUGUUUUUCCUGUGGUCCAAUCAAUCGGUUAUUCCUACGUUUUUCAUGUGUUUUGCAAUCCUCUAUUUUACACUUACAUUUCUAUCAGAAUCAUUUUCAUCCUUUUCAUGUUCUUCUAUUUUUCAUUCUUGUGAUUCAAAGAGGCUCUAAAAUCUAAUAACUUCUCAAAUCAAUCAAAGCACUUUUCAAGACAGACGUAUGCAUGCCCCUUUUAUAAUUGUCCAACCAAUUUUAAAUUUUAUUUGAGGUCAAAGUUUAAAAGGUUUGACCGAAUAUUAUUAAGAAAAAGAUAUGUUUAUGACUAAAGGGAGCUCCAUGCAUCAUAUCGAAAUAAUUGAAUUGUUCUGGUAUUCAGUGUUUUUGAAGUUUUACAUAAUUAAACUUAACGACGUGUUCAAGGCGAAUAAGUUUUGUGUCUGGACAGAGUACAUGAUAAUGCAAGUAUAUUUGUGGGCUGACUGUUGUCUGUUGCUACUUGCAGGACCGUGACUAGCACAUCUAAAUGCUGCUAAGGAUAUUGCCGUUUGGUGACAUGACUGAAUGCUAGCUUCUAGCUGUGUCUUCAGGAUCGAUAAAUCAGGCUAUAAGCCAACGUGGAAAAUAGAAAUAAAUAAAUAAAUAAUAAGAAGUAUUGGCUUUUUUAUGUACUCCCUCCGUUUCACAAUAUAAGAUUUUCUAGUCUUACCUAGAUUCAUAUGAAUGCUAAUGAAUCGAGACAUAUAUAAAUUAUAUGCAUUCAUCAAUUGAUGAAUUUAGAUAAGACUAAAAAGUCUUACAAUAUGAAAAGAGGCAGUAAGAGGUAGCUCUAUGUAUGCUCCAAAAUUGAUGUAUUAUAGGAUAAAAAUAGAGAAAACAAUUUUAUAGCUAAUCUAUUACUCCCUCCGAUCUUUAAUAUUUAACGUUAGGACAAAUUAUCUUAGGCAAAAGAUAGUUCAUUUGAUUGUCUAAAAUGUCAUGUAUUAGUAACCGGAAGGAGUAUAUAUGUUAUCUGUAAUAUGGUUUUAAGCCAGUAGUUAGCUAACCUCGUCCUUAUAAGAAGGCAUGCUGUGAGUUAUACCUGUUCAGUAUCUUUGUAGUUUUCCUGCAAGCUAGAUAUAUCUACUGCUAUACUGUGAGUUAGCCUACCGACAAGUAUAAAUUCAUUCUGUGUAUAGUUAGGCUUAUAUGUCUUAAUUAUUAAGUACAUGGAUAUGAUCUCGAUUUAUAAACAGGUUCUGACCUCCCUAGCUUCAAUUUAUUGAGUAAUUAAUAUGGUGAAUGAUAUGCUGCAAGGGGUGGGAAUUAUAAGCAUAGCCUUAGCUUUCUGGAGCAGCUAGCUGUGGGAGGGGAUGGGAUGACAUUCCUCUCAAAACAGUUUGUUUUGUUAGCUGUUGUGAGUUGACAACUAGCUUUCCAUUCAACAUACACCCUCCGCUACAUUUAGAUUUAUCCAUAUAUCAAUAUAUAUGUUUUGUAUAUGUGCGGUAUAUAUAUGAAUCUAGGUCAGUAUAAAAAGUCUUAUAGUAUAAAACGGAACAAAGAAAAUAUUCUAUAAAUAAAACGACGAGGGUAUUAAGGCCAAGAGUUGUGGCCACUAGCUUUCCACUUUACAACAUGGCCUGAGGCACGAUCGUUUGGAGGGGUAUGCAAAAUCAUUCUGAGGGUCAAGCUUAAGCAGCCUGUUCUUGGGAGGGCACGACCAAUCUCGUUAAAGCCUCUCUCCCCUGCUACAUUCUGAAGCUACGUUAAGAUUGUUUAUUAAGCUUACAUAUGUACUUCCACAUUAAUGCCUCUCGGCCAGGUUCAUAGCCUCAUAUCGAUGAAGUAGAAUGGUCACUUGUAGCUGCUGAUGCCACAUUAAGUGUAAUCCUUUUUCUUUUUUUUUCUUUUUUUUUGCCAAUAAAGCACAAGCUGUUUACAGAGAAAAUUAGUUUAACAAAUAACCAUGCAAUGGGUAAAUCAUCAUAAAGAACAGAGAAAACAAUAGGUGUUACACCUAAACACUGUUUCCUUUUUCUUCUAUUAAAAAGUUAAAACACUGUAUCCUAAACACUACUAGGUGGGUUCCUUUUUUUUUAGCAUUUUAGGUUUUUUUCCUACUUUUUUGGGGUUAUAUAAGCUAUAAAGGUGAACUAGUUUUCCCAGAAAAAAAGAACUAGCUCUGUUUAAAAUUAAGGAUUCUACCCGGAGUUACCAAACCUACAGAAUAAGGACUAAUGGAGUUUCACAAAGCUGAACGCAUCAAAAUUUCUUAUGGUAUCAGAUUCCUCCUGAAGAACCUAUUUCUCAGCCAGUAAGCUUCCUCAUCUUCCAACCCUAUAAUGCAAGUUUCAGCAAGAACCAGCCUGGAGAGGAGGAAAGUCAGCUUCAUCUUUCAGUUGGUAGAAUCCUUCUGACCUGCAGAUUUUCAUUCCCAAUAAGAUGCACUUCAAUACUAAGCAUAAUUGCAAGGAAACAAUCACGUCUAAAAUUUAGCCCACUCGAUAGAAUGGCUUACCUGCUUUCUGUUGCAGUUGGCUGAGGUCUCGCAAGAGUUGAAAUUGGGGUUUCUACAGGUCCCUUGAUAGAAGGCAGAAUUGGGAAUACUGCUCUGAACUUUGCACAGGGAACGCUAAAUGAGAUAGGUCCGAAAGAUCCAAACUGAAGACUUUCAUCUAGUUUUGUUUUGAUUGGAUGACAAACCUCUAUUGCAGGUGAGGAGGGCUGACAUGUAUUGGAUUCUUGUAUAUUUCCUUGACCGUCGUGGCCACAAAGAGGAAGCACUAUACAAGGUGAUGCUGUAGCUUUGCAGAUUUGAACUUCUGGUGGAUGGAGUAUCUGUAGCUCCCUUGAUUCAUUGUCAGGUCUGACAAGGCUUUCGCUGGUAGCAGGUUUUUGGUUGUCAACCAUGUUGUUGUUGUCUGAGCAAACAUACCCAUGUUGAUUGUUAUGAACAUUCCAUGGCUGGCUUAUUUGUGUCAGUUCGGUUGCAUGAUUUGUUGAUGCACUCUCCAGAGCAAAACCUCCUUCACCUGGAACUACAAUUUUGCCUGAGUAAUCCUGUUGUGAACUAUUUUGGUUUGUUGGUAUAUGAUAUGUACUUUCAGCUGUAAUAACCCCAUUGCUUUCAUCAGAACAUCCAACUUCAUGUGAGUUGUGCUGAUGAAGGUGGCCAGUUUGGUUGGUUUUAAUCUUGAACAGUCGAUUUGGUAAUAUUUCUCUUUGUCUUCUUCCUUUUUCAGACAAUAUGCGCUCCUUGUAAGUAUCAUAACUCUGUAAUAAACAAAAUGAACUGCCUGAAUGAAUUAACUAAUUACAUAGAUUUAGUAAGAAAUGCAACAAUUCACAAUUUCUAGUUUAUACUAUUAUCAAUUUUCAGUGUGUAGCAUAAACAACUCAUUUUAGAUUUUACAAUGCUGAUAAUCAAGGUUUGAACCUAGAAAUUCUGUUGGGAAAUUUUCAUUGACCCCUAAUACGGUAAUGAACGAAUCAUUUCCUGCCCAGGAGGAAACAAAGAAUAAGAGGAAUAUAAAGUAUGGCAAUAUUGUAGCAUAAGGAACAAAAGAUUAAUGAGUCAAUCUACUGAACACGAAAUCUUUUUGAAGUUUAAACAUGGAGCACCAAGAAAUACAUGAUUUCCCAAGAGUCCUCACCAUCUGGGGAAUGUAUGAGCCAGUUCCACGCGUCACACGAUUAUUUCUUGUGCUAUUAUACCCAAAAAUGUUAUGGUUCUCUGAACCGUCAGCAGGAGAUGAAAAUUGUCCCAAUGCAUUUGAUAGUACAUUUGUUCCAAGAAACAAUGAUGCAUUCUGCAUAUAUGCAACAAACAGGAAUUAAGUCAAUUCAUUGAAAGCAGAGCUUAUUGCAAACUGUGUAGAAUAAAAAGUUGAUGCACAAAGCAUCAGAGUCUCUUACAUUGAGAGAUUGCAUGCCAGUUCCAUAAGUCCUAAGAUCCUGUGUGGUAUGAAACCUAUAAACAGGAUAGUUCUCUGAAAUAGCAGUAGGAUAUGGAGAAAAUGUCAACCCGUUCGAUGUAAUAUGUGUUCCUGAGGGUAAUGAACCAUUCUGCUGACAAACUGCAUUCACUUGGUCCCCAGUGUGUGAUUUAUGACAAAUAUCUCCUGUGCUAUGCGAAUAGUAAACUGGAGAUAAGUUCCUUAUCUCAGUUUUAGAAGAUGAAACUGAUAAUAACCCUGGAUGCCUUGCGUCAGUAUUUGAAAAGUAGCUCUCCGUUGGAAUCUUGAAGGAGUCUUCAUCUAGCACACCAGACAAAAAUGCUUCCUGAAUCAGCUGCACCAACCCAUCAAACAUGGACUCCAGGUGGUACUGAAUUUUCCGAAGGCAUCCCAAGUGCAAAUCCAGAUCCCCUGAUAGAUCCAACAAAUUUGAUGUUGAGCAAGGAGAAAGUAUCAGUUUCUGUUCAUGGAGAUCACUCCUAUUUGACUCAGCUGCGCAAGAAUGGGGAACAUCCAAAGUAUUUGUACGAGUAGAGGGAGUCAAUAUAUGUGGUUUAUUGUUCGCAUAAAUCUGUUGUUCCAUAAAUGAUAUAACAGGUGGUAAAUCUUCCCCUGCAGAACAAUCCUUGCAACCCUGUUUAAAGCUGUCGUUACCAUUCCCUGUGGAAUAUGUUGAAUGGAUAUUGAAACCGGUUCCUGAAACCAUGUUGCAAUAUUGAAUAUCAGAAUUUGUAAACCUGAUUUUGUUCCAGGGACAAUCUUUAGCAUUACCUGGGAAAUAGCUAUCUGAGGUCCUGUGCGGAUUCGGACUUCUGUUUUCAUCUUCACUUCUGUUGGAAUUGUUCAAGACUGGUGCAUCUUUUCCAAGUGCAUAUUCAGGAGCAAGCAAGAAUUCUGGGGAAUCAUUUUUACCAACGUCUGAUCUUUCUCCUCUUCCAUGUCUCUUCAAGGUGUUCAUAAAAAAUCCAAAGAUCUCAGUAGGAAUAAGGUCAGCACGUAACAUGAGAAUUUGACCCAGCUUUUGUGCACCAAAUGAGAAAGCACCUCUUAUGCGGUAAAAGCUUCCUGCCGAAAAAAGUUUAUCAGAACCAAUCCUGCAAAGAAAUAUCAUCUAUGUGUGCAGUUAGGAACAUAUGCCUUUCUACACAUGUAAAGAACCAAAAACACAUGUUAUGAAUAAGCACACAGCGAAAUGUGCACUAUAUGGUGGUGGAACAUACAAAACAAAACGACGACAAAAAUAAAGAUAAAAUGACACAGCCGCUAGGUUAUUCUGACCUUUGCUGACGCUUCUGCCAAGAUUAUUACUCCACUUCAAUGGAUCAAUUAUGUUCAGAUGCUUCAGGCAAAUAUUUAUGUUUGAUCCACCAGAAACUUCUGGAAGUACAAUGAGUUUAUCAAACGGGACCUCAAGGAUCUCCUUGCUAAACAGUAAUUCAUCAUUUAUGGCCGAAAGUUCAACUACAUAUCACAGAGAUUAUAAUAUUCAGUCCAGUUAAUACAUGCCUGCCUAUCACUUGACGGAGGAAAAAAUACAUGACUCACCAGCAAGGUUGGGCAAAGAUGACAAAAGAACAGGACCAUUUAGACUAAUGCAAUACUUUUCCCAGUCAAACUUGCUAAAAUAUUCCAAAAACUUGUACAAAGCCUGUUACACAAAGACCACACAAUAAAUUAAUGAAUAUCCGCUGGGCAUUUCAUCCAAAAUCAUUUUAGUUCAACCAUCUUAGGAAGCAGCUUGUAAAAAUUCUGAAAACUGUUGUGUCUUCGAAAGGUUACCUCUAAGGGGCCGUGCAGAGAUUUGUGAAAUAUAUUAAAUAUGUAAAGAACAAGUGUUUCCAACGCAUAAGUAGAUAGCAGUCCAUGAUGAGCUCCUAGUAUGCGGCUUUCAUAAUAGCACCAUGCCUUGAUUAGCAUAAUGCUCCUCUUAAACAGAUGAUUUUUGCCAACUUUACGGUCAACCUGAAGAAGGAAGCAACAUUCAAGUAUGUGAUCAACAUAGCAGCAUACAUUUGUUCAAAUUUCUUGGUGAAUAUUCAAGAUGAGUAGUUUUGAGUGGAGUAGAUAGUUAGAUUUGUGUGUACCAGCUCAAGAAAGCAGAGUGUGGAGACACCACCAAUUUGGUUGAACGAGAUGUCAACAACAAUAUUCUCAAUAACACAUUUAAUGAGCUUUACCUGGAUACAAAAAUAAUGUCAGAAUUUUAUGAGACUGUGUACAGAAUUUUAUCAGUGGCAUAUAUAGAAGUGAGGAUUGCAUAGUUCAAUAUUUUUUUCCAAUGCAUAGCAUCAUUUGGAAAAAGAAAAUAAAAUUUCUGUUUUCUUAAGAGACCAUGCAUGAAGAAUGAUGGAAAAAAAGGAAAAAGGUCAAAACAUUGUUAAUUUUUUUCCUAAACUUUCUAAAGUAAAUGGAUUUAGAAAAUAAUAACACAGAAAAUGCACCUCAGCAUUGAUGAAUUGCAAACCCUUUAUUUCAAGUUCUGUGCCGCUAUCCUGCUCCGAUUCAAGUAUACUGUGAACAUCACUAAUGUAAGUGCUGUCCAGAGCAGUGUUCCCAAGUACAGUUAUAUCAAUAUCCCCGUCUGGGAGAUAGCUCUUCAGAGGAACUGACCCAAAUGCAAUUACCUGAAGUAUCAAAAGGAAAUAGCAAAACACCAAUCUUAGUGUAAAGUGAAAGGUCAGAGUCAUUCACUGCACCAGCAAUAUCUAUUUGAAAUGCAGGAUUGUGAAAACGUAGGAACAUGAAAACAUAAGAAUAGAAUGUCAUACCCACUAGAUUUUACCAGGAAUGGAAAACACAUGAAAGUUCUAAAACUACCUGUUUGAUGUUAAUGACCUAAACAAAGAGAUGAUCAAAAUGGCACAUUAGGUCAUAUGCAUUGAAACUUGGUUAAAUUAAUUAUACACUCUUUCUAUCUUGGUCGGUCUGACCACAGGGAGUGCUCCAGUCUGAUCGGCGCCGGUUUGACUGGGCCAGGCUUGGUCUGACCUAUGGGCUGUGAGCCGGUUGAACGGCCAAUACAGAGCCGCCAGAGUUGUGGCCAAUAUGAUCAAGCUCCAGUCGGUCUGACCGGUUGGUCCACUCCAGUCAUACCAUGCUACUUGUUGUCAGUGCAUUUAAUGCACUAUAACGGCUAGAAAAUUAGUCAUUACAAUGUUGGACGGUCUGACUGACCACCCUACGGCGGUCUGACCGGCAGGCAACAGAGUUAGAGGGUUUCGACCCCAAACAGCUAGUUUUUGAGGUGUGGGGUAUAAAUACCCCUCCUUCAGCAGCAAUGGGUCCCUCUUGGCACUUGCUUCAUUUGCAUACGCCCCUUGCAACUAUUCUCGCACUCUCUUGUGCGUACUCAUCUAUUUGAUGUGUUUGAGAGUUGUUUAAGCCAAGAUUCGAGUGCAUUGCUUCAUUGUAGAGCUAGUGUGGCACUUGAUCAUCUCCAAGCCGAGCUAUCGCUUAUUACUCUUAGAGGUUCCCGCCUCCUAGAAGGCUUGUGGAGGUGUUGCUCGAUGACCUCUCCAAUGAGAUUGUGGAGAAGGCCUAGUGUCGGUUUGUGUGUGGUUUGGAGUUCACCACCUUCAGGGUGAGGAAGAAUUACCCUAGUGAUCGAGGCUUGGUUAGUCUACUUCGUGGGCCGGCUCACACCUUGCCCACCCCUUGACGAAGGGGGCUUGCGGUGACUUAGUGGUUUUGAGCGAUGAAGUUGGGCUCGCCUCAAUGGGGAUUAGAAAACCUGCGAGUUUCCGAACCUUGGGUGAAAAAUUCUCUUGUCCCAUUUACUUAUUGCAUUUACUUUUGUGCAAUUUAUUUUGAUAGCGACAUAAUUGAGCCCUCGUCACCCUAGGAUUGCAAAACAUAACUUAGUUGCUUAGUUAGUCUUAUCCUUCACCAAGCCUAGCAACUUAGGUUAGUUUUGAUUAGCUGUUAUUUAUUUUUAAGGGCUAAUUAGAUCCAUGGCAUUACAAAUUUGCUAGUUUUGAAAAAUACCAUUACAAUUCACAUAAUUGGAAAUAUGUCAUUACAAUUCUUCCUCUUUCAGAGACAUGCCAUCUUAUACGCCUUGAAGGCUAUUGGACCCACAUGUGUAUAUACAUAUCGCCCAAAAUGCCACUGCUUCAUCUCUUUUCUUAUACGGGAGGAACGACGACCUCUAGUCCCCUCCAUUAUCGCCACCGGUGACGCCGCCACAUCACAUAAUUGGAAAUGUCAUUACAAUUCUUCCUCUUUUAGAGACAUGCCAUCUUCUAUGCCUUGAAGGCGGUUGGACCCACAUGUGUAUAUACAUAUCGCCCAAAAUGCCACUGCUUCAUCUCUUUUCUUGUACAGGAGGAACGAUAACCUCUGGUCCUCACCAUUACCGCCACCGGUGGCGCCGCCGUUGCCACCCCCUCGCCUGUAAAAUCUCCGGCCGUCAUCAUGGCCACCACCAUCACAGUUCGUCAUCCUCCCCUUCCUACGAUCAGAGGUCGAGUUCAAGAACACGAACUUCUCCUGGCUUUGCCCGAUGAGCCGCUGCCACCACCUGAAGACCGACCCAGUCGUGCCGCUCUUCUGGCAACUCGUCGGCGAAACCGCCACCACAGGGGAACCGGUGACCACAGGCAGUACGUCUUCGUGGGCAUGCCAUCAAGAUCGCCAUCAUCAUUGGGUUGUUGACCCAAUGGCACCGCCACCGCUGAUGCCCUCCACCAGCAGAAGCUGCCAUGGCGCGGGCUAGGGGUGGGCGUUCGGUUUAUUCGGUAUAUACGGUUCGGUUUGUUCAACUUUUCAAACGAUUGGUUUUCAACAAUCUCAAACCGAAGUCUCUAUGGGAAAACUAUAAACCGACCCGAAUAAACCGAUCUACAUCGGUUCGGUUCAUUGGUUUUACUGAGAAACCCGAUAAAAGAAAUUGCGCAUGCCACAUGCGCUUAGCCUGCCCACAUGAGUUGUCAGGCGUCGUUCAAGGAAUGGUGGUGGUUGGAACUAGCAUGGAUUAGUAGUGGGCCUCUAGGAGUUAGUGAAAGGUAGUGGUAUUAAUGGGCUUUUGCAUGGCUUAAAUGGACUAGACACGCAAGGAAUUCAUGCUGGAUAUUGUAUCAUACACAUUGAUCGUUUUUACGGUUUCUUCGGUCUCCACAGAUUAAAAACCGCACAUCAAUCCGAACACCGAACAAAAAAAGGACAGAAGCCGAAGAGGAGACCGAUCACCGAAAAACCGAUAGUUCGGUUCGGCUUUCGGUUGUCGGUCUUUUGAUGCCCACCCCUAGCGCGGGCGACGGACGAGGCCGCCUCAGCGAGCACGAAGAGGGCUUGGGACAGGUUGAGUGGCAGGCUCCUAGAACAGGACCUAGGAGUCUAGGACCUGGCCGAUCUAGAUGAGGUGUUCGAAGGCGUGGAAGACGCCGAGGUUCUUGAUCCCACGGAAAGGGUUCGCGCAGGGAGGGUCUACGAGCGGUGGUGACAGGCCCUGCCUAGGGAAGUCGACAGCGACGGCGAUGAGUCCAUGGGAGGAGAGCGGGGCGCAGGGUGAUGGCGAAGAGGUCGGGCCUGAGAUGGAGCUUUAGCAUGCUGCCCUCCAAGGCGUGGGAGCGGAGGAGGGACGGAAUCGAUGGGAAGGGAGGAAGUGGGGGAAGAGCGCAAAGGGGGAGACGGCAAUGGUGAGGUUGAACCAAAGUGGUUGUGGGAGAGAAGAAAUUGAAGACAUGCCCAUGUGUUAGUGAGUCGGAGAUAGGGGCAUUUUGGGCAAUACAAAAUUACAGUGGCCUGCAUGUGGGUUCAGUGGUGUUUAGGGUGUAGAAAAUGACAUUUCUAAGAUAGAUGAAGAAUUGUAAUGGCAUCUAUGCCAACAAAGUAAUUUUAAUGGUAUUUUUCUAAAUUGGCAUAUUUGUAAUGCAUGAAUCUAAUUAACCCUAUUUUUAAUCACCGAUUCCCCCUUCUAGUUAACAUCUUGAUCCUAUAAUAGGCCUUCUUCUAUCUUUAGCAUACGAUGAAUUAUAUUUAUAUUUAUAUUUAUAUAUAUAUAUAUAUAUUUAUAUAUAUUAGUGUAUGGUGAAUUUAUAUGAUUAUAGUAGGAUGACGUUCGUUUGUCCUUAUCGAGUUCGCCCCAUCUAUUUUUUAUUCGUGGUUCAGCAAUAAAGAGGCAAUAUCUACACAAAUUCCAAGAGAUGGAGUAAAUAGACCAAUAUAUUAAUAAUAAAAUGAAAUUAUUAUGGUGUAUUGGAGGAUGUAUGUUACGGGUAAUGUGUUGUAUAUGUUUCCUCCUAAUUAAUCAGUAGAUGAUGUAGACAAAAUUAGAUAUAGUAGCAUUCAUAUUUCCAAAAACAAGCCUGUUUACACGCUAAGGUGAAACGUAAAAGUAAAAUACCUAGGCUAGUAAAAAAAGCCACAAAAAACGGUCAAAGAACCUUAUCCUCUUUUUUUAUAAUAAAAUAAAUCUGGCAUGAUGUCACUUGCUAGACAGUAGGGACACCAAUUGGUUGGAGCUACUGUACAGUGAAUAUGGCCGGCCAGUCAAUUGUCAAACAAGUGUCAGUAAAAAGCGAUCUGGAUGGCUUGGAGAAUAUGAACUGGCAAUUUCACCGGUUAAUCCUAGUCAAGACGAAAUUGGCGGAUUAGCCUAAUCCUAAUCAUCACCAAAACGGAAUAAAGACUAUAACGACACAUGAGCUGAGCAAGCGAUUACGCGAAAGCUCAUCCAAGACAAAUCCCUUUGGGGAUGGAAGCGGACGCAUGCAUCAUGUAAGCAACUGCAAUUUUGUUUGUUUUUGUUUUCUUUUGGAAAGAGAAAACUGAACCACAAAAUCCGCGAGGAUCAGGAGGCGGCGGCGCGGUGGCCGGACUACCGACGACGACGGAAGGGCUAGCUAGCACGCGGUCGGCGCCGGCGCCGAUGCGAUCGAGGAGGGGGGGGGCACGACGUUACAUACCUCGCAGCCGAGGGCCGUGACCGCCUCCGGGCGGAUCCACGACGGCCGCGGCGCCCUCGCGGCCAUCACCGCCGCCAGCGUCGUCCUGCUCCCCCCGGUUCCGCCGCCCCCACAGUACGCCAUUUGAGGAGAGAGAGCUUCCCGUCGCCAUUUCAGCAAACACAUGAACGAAUGAAUAUAUCGAAUUCGAUCCAAGCGGGGAAAGGAGAAAAAAAUGCGAAAUAAAUUAUCUACCUCGUUUGCUUACGAUUUACGCUUCCCAAAAUCGAACGAAAAAUUCAACAGUAUAGUGAACCGUCGAUAUAUUUUAUUUUUAAUUCACCUAAUCUGUACUAGUAGUGGUAUUUUUGGAUCUCUUGCUACUAGAACGGAGCGGAGGAAGUGGUUUUAAAAGAGUUUUAAUCGCAUUAAAUGAGUUGCCCACGUAUAGGCUAUAACUGCUGAUAUGUUAAGAAAUUUAUUUAUGAAGAGAGAACUAUGCCAGGAUUUAUAUGGGCAGGGGUGCAGAAUUGUUAGCUGUGCUCCAACCAAAAGCCCAAAAGCCCAGUUGAUGCCCUGUUUAGUUCAUAGAAAUUUUAUUCUAAAAUCAUCACAUCAAAUCUUUGAACACAUAAAAAAAUAUUAAAUAUAAAUAAAAUGAAUACUAAUUACACAGUUAUAUAAAAAUCGUGAGACGAAUCUUUUGAGCCUAAUUAGUCCAUAAUUAGCCAUAAGUACUACGGUAACCCACGUGCACUAAUGAUAGAUUAAUUAAGCUUAAAAGAUUCGUGUCGCAGUUUUAGGCGAGCCGUAAAAUUUAUUUUUUCAUUCAUAUCAAAACCCCUUCCGCCAUCCAGUCAAACGUCUAAUGUGAUACUCAAAAAUUUCCAUUUCCCCAACUAAACACCCCCGAGCCAAAGUGAGAGCGGGAGACAACGACAUAUAUGGAAAAUGUGGUUGACACGGGAAGGACCCUCGUUUUUUUAGCAUGUUUUUAAAUGGUUGAACGGUCUAUUCAUAAAUAUAAAAUUUAUAUUAAUAUAUAUUUUUUUUUAAUAAUAUUUUUAUACUCCACAAUUGGUAGAUCGAAUGAAAAAAAAUUUCUCAAUUUUUCCUAUACUCCAUUCCUACCAACUGAAUGAUACUGGUAGAAAUUGAUUGUUAGGAAUCCAAAUAUUUGUUUUUCCUUCUCACCAAACCAGCCCUAAGAAACUUAUAAAGAAAACAAAGAAAUGUGUCUGAAUAUAUGUGCUGCAGGAUGGUUAGCUGUUCUUAGAAAAAUCACUUUACAUCCCUCAACUAUGGAUUGAAUUUCAUUCACGUCCUUCAAUCAUAAAACUAGAUAUACAACAUCUCAAUCUAGGUUUCUCUUUGCUUUCAUCUGACGUGCCUAACAUACUAUGUUGCACUACGGUUAACAAAGUACGAUGGUUUUAUCCUACAUGCCAUAUCAGAACUAUCUAGUAAGAGAAAUAAUGUUAAAACUAGUGGGACCCACAUAUUGGUUGGACAAAAAAAUUAAAAAAGUAAGACCCACAUGUCCCCACUCACCUUCUCUGCUCCCUUGCUCGCUUCCGUGGCUGAUAUACACUUUUUCUUCCAUUCAACAGAAAAAUACACAUAUAAGGAUAAUUAUCAAAAAUACACACUUACCGUAUGAUGGAAAUGCGGCAUUGCCUUGAUACCAUGUGUCAAUGUAGCGGUACCGCGUUGAUACACCCAAUAUUGUACUAAUCUCGUGCUCCCAUACAUGGCCCUGAUUUGAAAUUGACACCUUAUGCAACAAAAGGAUUGGCAUCGCACCGCAUACAUGACCAUGAUGCUCUGCAUGUUCUUUUUCACGCACUACAAGUUGAUAAAGGCUCCUUAGGGUAAGGUAAGUAACUCGUGUGCACGAGUGGCCCGAUUUUCGGUGGCUACUAAUUGUGAAAAAGACACUGAUAAUCCGACUAUAACCAUACAUGGCGUUGUUUUGUGUUGCGCCUUAGCGAUCGAUACAUCUCUUCAGAGAUUGCCGAUCUUAUUGGUGUAGAUUAACCUUACUUCUUCAAGCAAUCGAGAACAAGAUAAAAUAAACACUGAUUCGUAAAAUAUAAGUGAAGAACAAAAGAUAAAUCUCAAUUAAAAGUGGUUUCCCAAACAAGUGAACGGCAUUGAUCCAACAUGCAUGCUACCAGGAAAUAACUUAAGCUAAACUUAAAAUUUCUUUAAUGCUCCUCUUAAUGGUGAGAAAUGUAUUGGCCUUGAUUGGAUAUAUUUCUUUAUAGGUGUAUUCCAUGUGAAAUUUAUAAUUUUAUUUUGAAUCUAGGAUCAAGAAAUUUGCCACUAACUUAUUUCGGUGUUUUUUUUUCCUCUAGCUGAAUGCUUGUGCGCGGUUGAUUGACUGAAACAACGCUAAACAAUUAAGAUAUUAGCCAUGUCGUUCCAACAUAUUUUUAUUACUACUUUUUCAACCAUACAUGUAUAAAAAUUAUUGGAAGUAUAACCUACAUGACUACGCCCCCCCCCCCCCCCCACCCCNNNNNNNNNNNNNNNNNNNNNNNNNNNNNNNNNNNNNNNNNNNNNNNNNNNNNNNNNNNACGCACCCCCCCCCCCCCCCCCCCCCCCCGGAAAAAAAACAUUCGGUUCAUAGAACACAUGGGAUAUCAAAAUCGGAAAAUACUACAAUUUCUUUCCAGUUCGCUCGCAGAUGUGAAGGAUACGGUAGAAGACCACACAAGGUGCACAACAACAUUUUGCAGCCACCAUAUCAGUUAAAACUGAUAUCUACAAAGCCUAUAAUGCUUCCAAGAUACACCAUUUGGUUCUGACGACCAAGAGGUAUCCAGCUCUGUAACGCUACAAGCAUACAUCGGGCAACUACAUGAAACCCUAUCAAAAAUGCAAUGUUUCUGCUCAUAUUAAAGACUGCAUCUUUAAAAUCUCCAUGACUACAACUAGCUGAGUCUAUUUGGCUCACAACAGUACAAGAAAAUUUGGGUGUCAAUACUUAUCAGAAAGUGUGAAAAAAAGAACAGAUACAAAAUGGCAAAGGGUCUGCAGCUUUGAACCAACCCCCUUCCAGUUAUGAAACCUCCACCACCGCUUUCGAUGCCUUCCACGAUAGACUGCAAGCUGGCUGCCAACUACGGUUUUCCUCAUUCGCCUUGCUGGGUAGAACUCAAUACGGCAUAGUGGAACUAAAGCAAAAUUGUUCCAGAAUUAGACAAAAUCAACUAAAUUCAACUUGAGACGACUUUCUUUCGGACAACUCUCUUUCUGCGAGGCUUGGACAAUGCAGCUUCUGUUCCAACUUGCUUGAUGCCAAGAAGACCAAGGCCAGAUACAAUCGCAUCCUUCGAUAUAAACCACCUUGAAUCUUCUUGUCCCCCAGCAACCUCUACUGGCCUUUUGUAUGCUCUCAACAAUCGAUCUGAGUACUGUGGAUCAGCUUCCUCUCCAAGCCAUGUGCAUCUUGAUGAUUCGCCAAUCUGAAUGUUCGUCAAUCUGCAAUACAAAUGGCAUCAAAGCUUAGUGGUAGAGUGUGAUCCCCAUAAGAUGCAAUUAAAACACUUCUGGAACACUGGAACACAGGCAAUACAAAUAGAGCAAACCAAUGAAAUAAAUAACUUUUAGAACUGAAGUGAAUAUAAGAUAGAAAUCAUGUAAGGAUAACAUAAAAAGUAAGAUCUAAUCAUCUAGCAUACAGAAUUAAACUGCAGCAAAGCUUUACCAUUACAACCUUUUGUCAACAUACCAGCACAGCUGAAACACUUCACAUAGAUUUCUAUACAGCCACAACCAUCUCCAUAAUUAUGCAAAUCACUAAAUGAAUUCUAAAUACAAGCUAACAAGUCGACAACCAUUAGCAUAAGUUUAUCGCUAAAUCAUGCAACUCAACAAACAUUUCCAACUACAAGAAUGAAGUACAUAUCAGUGAACAGUUAGCAAUGUCUAUACCUCAAAGGUAUAAAUCCAAAACCAUAUACUAUGACAAAAAAUAGAUCUAGUGCAGCUUUAAGAUGUGUCAAGUUAAAUUUGCAAGAAAAAACUUUUUCAUGAAUGCAGUAAUUGGUUGAUUGUCUGCUGGAAACUGCUGAACCUCCUGGUUGCAUCCUAUUUCAAUUUUGAAAUAGUCAACUGGCAAUCAUUUCCAGUUUUUCAUCUGUAACGGGCAAAACACAGCAAGGUUCCAGGAGGAUUCAGUUUUUGGUGAAAACUGCUCCAAAUGUAUUCUCAUCUACCAUUGUGCUAUGCCAAUACUAUUGCAAAUUGCUACUUAAUUCUUUGUUAUACAGAAAAGUGGAAGUAAUCAUCCAUGUAGGUAUUAGGUUAGCUCUUGUAUCAAAUCCUUGGUUGUUGCCCACUUUCACAGCCCAGACUGAAAAGGCGAAAAGCCGAAAACUCAAUCUGAACAUGUCAAAUAUAGUGCAUCGUAUUAACAUCCCACGUAAUUUAACUGAUACAAUCAAUAUGUGCAUCAACAGUAGUAUCCCAUGCACCAUCGAUAAAUUAUCUCAGAUUACUGGGUUUCUGCCUUCAUAAAAAAUGCAUAACAAUGGACACCAGUUAGUUAUCCUGUGGGAUAUUCUACAGAGCUCAGUACAUAUUUACCUUAGUGCUGUGCUGAAGAAGAUUGCCACACCAAGAACAUCAAAUCUUCUGACCAUAUACUGAUCCAGUCCACAUAAUAGUUGAUACCGCAAGUUUGCAUAAAGUCCAAGGAAGGCUCCAUACCCAAGGGCAUUGGUGCUCACAGAAGGAAUGGUUACCGAUAACCUAUAUAUGGGAUUAGCAAAGCAGAAAACCAAAAGUUAAAUUCUAGAAUGAAUAGAUUUGAAUAGAUUAGAAGAAGCUAUGAAGUAAAACUAUGAUAAGCCCACCUCCUUUCCUUUCUUGCAGACAGGGCUUUUGAGAGACCACCUUGAAUAGAACCAGCAACUACCCCAACCAAGCUAAGCUCUGCUGCCUUGUAAAAGAAUGCACUGAUCCGUUUUUGUAGAUCAAACUCUCUCAAAGGAUAACUCUUCUCAAACAUGUUGUUGGGAAGUUUCUCAAUUGCAUUCUGGAAGUCAAAUCGCGAUGUACUCCCAUAUGAGCGACAUGGUGCCAGAAGCCCAAGAACCACCACAUUGCAACAAGAGGCAGUCAGAGCAUUGACGACAGCCAAAUCCCAUUCUUGCUCAAACCUGAUUUCUCAGAGUUAGAAGAAUUGGUAAAAAUUAAAGUGUUGAAUACAAGAUCACAGAAAAUGUACAGCAUACCUCUCCUUACGUAUGUUCAUCUCCCACCAAACAGAUGAGAAAAAGGUAGCCACGAACUCAAAAGCUAUCUUAUGUGGGAAUGAUGGAUCUGCAAGCGUCCUGCAUGUAGAGAGAACAGAAGACAAUUUAAACUGGUGUUACGAAAACCAACACUUCAAAUAUGCCAUAUGUACAACCAAGACAUUUCCAUUUUAAUUUGAUCAAGCAUAUAUUGAGUAAAUGUGACUACAGAAAUGCAAUAUUUGCUUAUGGAGUUCGCCAACUAGUAAAAUAUAAGCUAAGCUCGAUACAAAGUUGGAAGUUCAGCUUUCUUAAGGUACCAAAAACAAGAAAUAUCAUUCUACAGAUGAUAAUAUAGGUUAUGGUUUAGUUUUAAAUACAGUAAACCUACAGGAUAACUGGUAAACUAAAUUAUGGUAACCAACUCCCGUCAUUUAAAUUCAACGAAGAAGAAAAGACAUUCCAUGAGGCAAUAUUCAUGUACACCAGUGCCUAAUAAAGGAGGGAAAUAUCUCCAACUUGGAUUUAUGGCUUGCAGCUUAAGUCUAAAUCACUAAACCACCAUUCCUACUGCCUAAAACUAAAUGAGGUAAAGAGACUAGAUGUCACCUACCAUCUUUCAAGAAGUUUACCGUGCCACCCAAGCUACUACACAUUUGUUUAUCUUUCAUAUUUCAAAUAUGAUACAUUGGUCCCUCCCCCAAUUUUUAUCUAAAAAAAACUUCUUUUGUUUCAGCUAUUAUGGGCUCAGUUAAAAUGUCAAGGUUGUCCACUGCGCAUAUUCCCCAUCUCCACAGCAAAUUCUGGAUACACCCUAUCAAUGCUUCUCCACUGGACAGAAUUUGUAGCGUGUUACUUUCCUAUGAUCCUCGCACGCCAUGGCAGAGGUGAGUAUGGGUAUAGUGGCCGGUGGUGUACAGUUAAAAGGUGCAAAGAGAAGUGGGAUAACAUCAACAAGUGCUUCACAGGGCCGUGGAUAACAGAAAGGUGCAGAUAGCAAGGUGCACCCUACUUCAAAUGAGAUCAACCAUCUCUAAACCUGUGCUGAUUGUGCCAAACCAUCCUCUGGCCUCCCAUGCGGGUGCAAGUGAUGGUGCUUAGGUAAGGUUGGCACUGCUUGACAGUGGUAAAUUGCCCCAACAUUUUUCAUCAAUAGCGGCUAUUCAUGGGAUCCAUGCGUGCAUUCUUCUAAGUGAUGGCAUCAGACACCUAAGAAAUCACUGACGCUCCGGCAGUCAUGUGUUGCAUGGGGCAGGCAGGAUGUGGAUUUUGGAGGAGACAGCAAGUUAAGGUCACAGCUAUGGAAUAAAAAGGAGAUGGUGUGAGGGUGAAGGCAGCCAUUUUGGCCUUUCAAAAAGCUUCCACCUUGGUCAAAGUUUCCAUACGUGGUACUUGGUAAUUAAUUCCUCGAGUGGCAUGUUCAGGGUUAAACAAGAAAAAAUUGCUAGUUUCAAGUGGUAACUGGUAAACAAAACUUCUCAAAAACAAAUGGGCAGUUGCGGCACCACAACAAAAUCAAAGAACAAAUAUACCACCUAGAAAUUCUCUCUUCUUUCUAUAUUUUCCUUGCAGCAGGUGCUAGUUAAAAUAAUUAGCAAUCUAAACAUAGUACAAUAAUAUUAUGUUUGCCUAUUGCAAUGUGAGUUAUGCCUAAGAAGGCACAUAUGCUGGCACAAAAACUAUAUGCAAAAGCAUACACAUGUAGAAGACAAAAACUAAGUGUGGACAUCUAGCUGUUACCUUCCAACAAGACCUCUGGAAAGCCAUCCAGGAAGAGUUCGCGAGAAGGAUCUGGAAUGAGUAGGCCUUGCAAAAAUUGCAAGGUACCGUACCAUCUGGGCAGAACUAACCAAACCCUAGAUUGAUACAUCAUGAUCAGUCCAUGUAAUUCAGACAUUGGUACCAAACAAUGGCAUGAGAAACAAAAUAUGAAAUGUUACCAUCUCAUAAGCUUGGCGGAUACCAGCAGGCAAAUUACUCAUCGUUUUGCACCACUCUUGCAUUACAGCAUCCACAAACUCUCUAUUGAAAAGCUGGUUCAAUAGGAGAAAGAAUCAGCACAUAGGUCUCAAUAUUUUCUGGGUUAGAAAUUAAUAUAUCCUGAUUUAAAUAUUAGGGAUUUCACCUCCUGUAUGACGAUUCGUCUGCGGAAAAGACCACCUUCCUCUUCCUCACCAUCAUCAAAAUCAUCGAAGUAAUCAUCAUCAUCGCCAUCAUCAUCGCCACCAUCACCCCCACCAUGACCAAUCCUUUUCCCAAUAUCACCACCACCACCACCUGUGGCCAGCUGCAACAUUUUAAAAGAAGAGGUACAUGAUGAAUAUAUACACAGAAUAAUAAUUAACACCCCUUCAAAGAAGAACAUUUAAGGACAAACAGAUAUGCAUAUUAAAGUGAGUUUUUAAGCUAACAGGUCAUCAAGCUUUGUCAGAUUUCAACAUGGCACCGCGAUCUUUCAUUCUAGAGCACAGAAAUGGAGCAUUUGGUUUUAGAUCAAUGCAUUUAUUAUUGUAAGAAUCCCUACUUACCACCAGAUCAGCAUCACGCCGAUAAAUAACAUGAGUUAGCAAUAGAACAUUGGUAUCUAUAGUAAUUGGCCCUAGUACUCUAUUUGAAACAAAUCCAUGUACCUUUGCACCAUCAAACCUUAUCCAUUAUUCCAUUAUAUUGGCCUUCCAGUCCGGCCAUCCAAUUUCAAAACGAAUUUGGAUCGAUCGAUACCCUGAUCUCUUUGUCACGUAAUUCAUUCAGUCGACAAGGCAUGAACAACGCAGGGUUAUCUUAUCUCCCAAAUUCCCUAAGCCUACCCCGGAAAUUCAUCCGGUUACAGCUACCCAAGAAAAACCAAACAGGGAAAUCAUGAUUAGCAACCCUACCUCGGGCGUGAUCUUCUUGCGGCCCUUGGACAGGUCAACCUUCCGCUCGAGCGUGACGGCGCCGAACGAGCCNNNNNNNNNNNNNNNNNNNNNNNNNNNNNNNNNNNNNNNNNNNNNNNNNNNNNNNNNNNNNNNNNNNNNNNNNNNNNNNNNNNNNNNNNNNNNNNNNNNNNNNNNNNNNNNNNNNNNNNNNNNNNNNNNNNNNNNNNNNNNNNNNNNNNNNNNNNNNNNNNNNNNNNNNNNNNNNNNNNNNNNNNNNNNNNNNNNNNNNNNNNNNNNNNNNNNNNNNNNNNNNNNNNNNNNNNNNNNNNNNNNNNNNNNNNNNNNNNNNNNNNNNNNNNNNNNNNNNNNNNNNNNNNNNNNNNNNNNNNNNNNNNNNNNNNNNNNNNNNNNNNNNNNNNNNNNNNNNNNNNNNNNNNNNNNNNNNNNNNNNNNNNNNNNNNNNNNNNNNNNNNNNNNNNNNNNNNNNNNNNNNNNNNNNNNNNNNNNNNNNNNNNNNNNNNNNNNNNNNNNNNNNNNNNNNNNNNNNNNNNNNNNNNNNNNNNNNNNNNNNNNNNNNNNNNNNNNNNNNNNNNNNNNNNNNNNNNNNNNNNNNNNNNNNNNNNNNNNNNNNNNNNNNNNNNNNNNNNNNNNNNNNNNNNNNNNNNNNNNNNNNNNNNNNNNNNNNNNNNNNNNNNNNNNNNNNNNNNNNNNNNNNNNNNNNNNNNNNNNNNNNNNNNNNNNNNNNNNNNNNNNNNNNNNNNNNNNNNNNNNNNNNNNNNNNNNUUGUGGUGGUCGACGCCCUCCGUCCGGCGCCUCCGGGGUGGAGGAAGGUGGCUUUAUCGAAAGAGGAGGAGGAGGCUAAUCUGCUUUGGUUUUAUUUAGAGGGUUUCUUUUCUUUUUUCGAUAAAAGAAAAAAAUCGGUUGAGUGAUGAGGCUGCCUUGCCUUUCCUUCUCUUCCCCUGCCUGCUUGGAUGCAAAAUUCCCCUGCUGAUCCGCUGCUUCUUUAAUAAAGCGUGGAGGUUCCAUCAUCUCCGAGUCACCGCUUAUCUCACUUGACAUACUAAAUAUUAACAAUUUUGUACAAAUUUUUUUCUCCAAGAGACUAUCUAUUUUAUUUGUCAUGAUAUUUAAAUGGUUAAACAUGGCCCUUUAAUAGCCAAAUUUUGCAAGUCAUUCUAAGGUUGCUAUCUAUGGGUCUCAUCCCCUUGCUAAAUUUGAAGAGUGAUGAUGAAGAGUCUAUUAGAAUGCACAUCAGAUUUGAAGUUGCUAAAUCUAAUAUGAAUAGCUUAAAUUUAGAUUUAGAGAGUUAAAAUUUACGUCAGAUUAAAAUCGGUUUUUUUGUGAGGUUGUUUGACAGGGAGGAUUGUUUUGGCCGUGAGAUUGGGGCUGCAUAGAUGUUGUGCUUAUAUUUUAAAAUUGUGGUGCUUAUAUUUUAAAAUUGAAAUCAGAUGAGUGAUUAAGUUAAAGUAUAUUUACUAGAAAAUUAGAUUAAGUAUGAUUUGUUUUGAUCGGAUCGGAUCAAUACAAUUGAACUAAGUGUUGUUGGUGUUGUUUUUAUUCUAUAUAAACCUUUUCAAUUUAAAUAAACUCCUAAAACUUAUUAUUAAUCUAAGCAUAAUGUGGCAUGGCAGUGGUGUGACCUCAGAAAUAGUGGUACUACUUUUCUUUUAUGAAAUUUUGAAGACCAAAAGUUCCAUUCAAACUUUUGAUGACUUCUAAAUUUAUAAUGGAAUACAUUUGAUUUGUAAGAAAUUUGUCAAAUUUUUUUCUAGAAACAGCAAUAGUUUGUGCAUUGCAACAUAAACAGAAAAGGAAUUCUUUUGUUGGCUCAUGAAUCCUUUUGUUUUGACAAACUUCUGUUGGCUCAUGGAUUCUUUUGUUUUUGAGAAAAAAGAAUUCUUAACCGAUUGAGGUCCAAAAAUUGCACAUAACGAGAAACUACCAACAUCACUAUUUAUACGAUAUAUUUUUAUUUUUUUGUAAUUUUCUUAUUUCAAAUUUUUUAAUUCAUUGAAAUUGCAAAAGCUUGUUUCAACAGGAUGUAAUUGGCAAUAUUACAUGCACCAGUGUGGGCUUUUUUAUCAACUCUAGAAUGUACUACUACAUCCGUUUUAUAUUGUAAGUCUUGUCUAAAUUCAUUCAUUGACGAAUGUAUAUAAUUUAUAUGUGUAUAUAGAUUCAUUAACAUCUAUAUAAAUCUUGACAAUGCUGGAAAGACUUGCAUUACGAAAUGGAUGGAGUACUAUUUACUCAACAAAUAUAACACAUUUUGGUGCAUACACCUCACCCCCAGCCAGCCGAAACACCCAUCCAAGCAUUAUGUUGGGCACUUGGAAAAGAUGCAUGUAGCAUAUAGCAUAUAGCAUAUAGGUGGAUCGGGAACAUGCCACUAAUCGCCUUAUGGAAUGCAGGUCAGGCAAGAAGGCAAGAUGAACUACAUCUCCCAAGGCAAGUAGGAAGGCAAGAUGAAUUAUAUCUUGGCAGGUAAUCCACUAGGAAACGAACUCAACAUACGACAAGAAAGAGUCGUAUCAAUUACGCUACUAAGGCUUUGUUUAGUCCAAAUUUUUCACCAAAAACAUCACAUCGAAUCUCACACCCAAAUGAAGCAUUAAAUAUAAAUGAAAUUUAAAAACUAAUUACAGAGUUAUAGGAGAAAUCGUGAGACGAAUCUUUUGAACCUAAUUAGUCCAUAAUUAGCCAUAAGUGCUUUAGUAACCUACAUGUGCUAAUGAUGGAUUAAUUAGGCUCAAAAUAUUCAUCUCGCAGUUUACAUGCUAGUCAUAAAAAUUCGUUUUUUUAUUCGUGCCCGUAAACCCCUUUCGACAUCCGUUCAAACGUUUGACGUGACAUCCAAAAAUUUUCUUUUCACCAACUAAACACCCCCCCUAAAAAGGAAAUAUGCCUUUAAAAUACGAAGGGAGCAGUAAUCAAGUGCAAGUGUUGACUCAUGAGGUGGUCAAGGAUAUCAACUAACCUAUCAUUAUGUCUAUGCAGUCCUUUACCCUUUUAGGGUAUCUGUUGGAAUGUGAACCACUUGAGCGAGAAAUUGGUGGACACCUUUUGUGUUGGGCCAAGAAGCACGGGGGAGGUUGCUAGUUCAAAUUUGGUAUAUAGAGUAGUAAAUAUGUGGAGGAAUCAUACAAACAAAUAGAUUGUAUAUGCUCGGACCGCGCACAGGAAUGAUAUGCUACUCAUGUUCUUUUGAUUUGUGUGUGAUACAAGUGGUGGGAGUAGGAGUGUUCUCUGUUAGUGGUUGGGAAUUUCCUAUCUCCUAAACAGUUUCCUUCUGUAGCUACUAAAUGCUCUUAAUUCUAGAGUACUACUAGCUAACUUCUUUUUCACCUAGCUCUUGAAUACUCCUGAUUCACGGUUGGGUUUGGUUAUCUUCUUCUCUAUGUUGUUUUUCUUAAAUCUCUUAUGUCCACCUUGUUCAUUGGGCUUAGUACUCCUUUUAUAGUGUCAAGGAACAUGCACUUACAAGGACUCAUCUCCUUCAUCUUGCACAUUCUGGAGCUGCCAUUGAAUCCACGUGCUUCAUCCUUAUUAACAGGACAUGAGAUGGGACAAGCAACACUGAAGGUCGGUGAUAGACCUACAUGGACCUAUCAGCCCUUGUGCACCAUGCCCUUGGGUAUGGAUAUAUUUGGUAGCCCCCUGCGCAUGCUAUUGUAUAUAUGACCGGUGUACCCCACAUAUCGGUGAGGACGAGUGACAGGUGGUCGUUAUUAAGCUCUGCUGAAAUUAUUCAUCGACCCUCAUAAACCAGGAUGAUGAUGAUAAUGAUGAUGAUGAGAAGGAGGAUGAGAGUGAGGGACCCAGCAAGAGGCGUCCCUAUCCUCCACGUCUACUCAACAAACGAUGGGUGCUUUCAGGGGCAUAUCUACCACCAGGCCUUGGGGGGCUUUAGCCCCUCCUACCCGAUCUGCGCCACUUAAGCCCCCAAUUAGCCCCCGUAACAAAAUUUCUAGUAAUACUAAAGAAAAAGAAGGACUGAAAGCAGUUAUCUUUCGUUCAGCCUCUCCUAAUAUUUUUUCUGGAUCCACUACUAGGUGCUUUCCCAUAACAAGUAACAUUGCGGAGUGCGUAUUAAAUGAGGUCGGCGAGGGGUCUAUUCGCGGUGAACUCCUCCACCAACAUCCAACGGUGUGCACGCUGAUAGAUCACUUCCUUUCCAUGGAGAAGGAUCGGGGUAGCCUGAUCGCUCCUAGCUAUGGCACAAUUAAGCCUUAGGAUGUCAUGAGUCAACCAGCUGGAAACCCUUGUUCCCAGAUCAUCCAUAGUAUACUUGUGACUGCCAUAUGUACUCCAAAGGCUAUACAAGCCUAAUAUCUUCCUUAUAUGACACACAUUAAAUCAUAAUUAUAUCAUAAGAAAUAUCCAACCCCAUCUUUUGGCUUUUUCUUAAGCUUAUAAGUCAAAUUUUGAAUUUUUUUACUUUAAAAUUGGAGUUAAUUUUGAGGUUUUUCAUUAUAGUUUAUUAUUCAGUUUUAGUUUUUAGAUCACUAUAAACGUGUAGAUACAAGAUUUAUUCACAAAAUAUAUUUUUUAAAUAUGGCGUUUGCCUUUUCUUUUAAAAACCCAAAAGAUUACCCAUCACAGUGGUAAAUUAACUUUACAUACUCGAAUAAUUCACAUUUUACAAGAAUAUGCAAGGGAAAUUAACUUUUCAUUCCUUAUUUCCUGGUUGUUCGUAACCUAUCGUCACAUGAACACAAAAGGACAGAACGGAACAUCAUGUUUAUCGCUGACAAUGCUUGGCAUAUUAGAAGCAUCGUGGAAAGAGGGUGGAGUCAAAGUGUCAACUUCAGCAAUUCUCCUAAACAAAAUGAGUCAAGGCAAGUUUUUCUGUACACCUGAGGCUCCAUCAAGGUAGCGUUUUUCUUCCUUCUUUACUACUCACUUAGAUUUUUUUUUUAUGUCAUUGACUUUUUGAUUUAUGUUUGACCCUUUAUCUUAUUCAAAAUAUUUGUCCAAAUAUGCAAAAUUAUAAAUCAUACUUAAAAUUACUUUAGUAAUAAAACAAAUCAUAAUAAAAUAGUCAAUAAUUAUAUAAUUUUUUUAAAUAAGACGAAGGGUCAAACAUGGAUCAAAGAGUCAACGGUGUCAAAAAAAAAAUUGAAGAGAAUAUUAUAAUAUUCGCUACCAACCUUAUUCAACAAGCGCCUAAUUUCUCCUUUUGAUAUAUCAAAGGGAGAUUGGAGAUUUAGAGGUGGUUAUAUUUGCUUUAAACAAGGUAAAAAUCAAAGAGGGGUAUAAGUUAGAGCAGAUCCCCAGUAAAGACAAAUUUCAAGUAGCUUAUAGGAAAAAGAAAGCUUUAUUCUUACCCGUUAACUCCUAACUUUGUUUAAUUUCAAUCUCAAUUCUUUUACUCGGUAAAACUUACUAUGAUUCAGCUCUUAAAUACAAAUCAUUGUCAUGAUUGUCAUGCUUUUGAACCGGUGGAAUCCGAGUAGACAAUAAGCACUUAGGCUGUGCUCUUAUUUGGGGAGAUCUCUACUAUUAUAAAAAUACAAAAACGCUUCCGUCGCACGUUAAUCCGCUCGCACACGUCGUUACCGAAUCACGUGAUAAUUAGUUCAAUUCAACUCUCUUAUUGAAUGUAGCAAGAUGCGAAGAUGACUUCGUAGGCCAAUGAAUAAGGCGUUGUUCUGCCGAACCAAAUGUUUCUGGUUCAUCCCAGGCAAAGUCGUCUUUUAUUUGGUUUUUGCAGCCGCUCCGUGCGUUCCGCUCGCCCGUCCCCGUCCCCGUCUAAGGCGUUGUUCUGCCGAACCAAAUGUUUCUGGUUCAUCCCAGGUAAAGUCGUCUUUUAUUUGGUUUUUGCAGCCGCUCCGUGCGUUCCGCUCGCCUGUCCCCGUCCCCGUCCCCGUCCCCGUCCCCGCCUGGGCCAGCCAACCGGCCCACGCGACGGCCUGUCGCCUCGGAUGAGCCAUGCUUCGCUCGCGUGGACCGCGUCAUUGCGCUGCCGCGCCGCCAUCCUCGUCCGCUUGCCCAGGUUGCCGGAUGGGCUGCCAGCCACCUUGGCAGGCCGAGCGGAGAAAGGAGAAGGCCUGGAGCUCCUGUCUUGGACUGCCUCCUCUCUCUCUCUCCCUCUGCUCUUUGAUUUUCUUUUGCAAAUUUCCGGCGCUUCCACCAGCCAGCCAAGCCCUAGGCGACUCUUUGGAAACACAAUGUACUUUUGUUUUUAAAAAAGAAUUCAAAUAGAAAUACAAUUAACAAUAAAAAUAAAACAUUUAAAAAGUGAGAUGUUGAACUUCUAUAUUAAACAUUUUAAACAAAAUGUACCGUUUAAUAGUUCGAUAAACGUGCAUACAUGAAUAGAGCAAAAUCUGAGAAAAAUCUCGAUAGUUCAAUACGAUCUGUCAGAAUUUCCGUGACUAUAAGAUAUUUAUGAGAGUUAGGCAUCACCACUCACCUAUAUUAUCUUGUCUGGUUUCAAUACUUUAGAAAUAAACUUUUGCCAGCUCUAGAAUUAAAAUUUAAAGGAGUAGAGACUAAACCAAGAUGAAAAUCGGGUUACAAGUAAGUUGGUAUGCAUUGACACAUGUUUAGAGAUGUACGAUGGUAGAACGUUGUUACUCGCUACAUCAAUGUAUUACUUGUUUCUUUAAACUGUGGUAGUAUUUUUAGUCUUUAUAAAUACAAUAAUUUUUUUAAUAAUCUGUUAAAUGACAUCAUGGCCAAUUGUAAACAAGACAUAUAUGUAAAUCGUAUGCUACAUUGAAUUUGAUAUUUGAUCUAACAUACAAGUCAUUCAAGUCUAAAUACUAAUACUAAUCUAAUAAACUAAAGAUCAGGUAUAGAGGAAAUGACUCAGCCAGUAGAGGAGGUGUUUUAUUUCAGUAUAUAACCAAUAACGCUUAGCGACCUAUUAUAGCUAAUGUGACAAGAGAAGACAAGAAUGUAAAGCAACAUGAAUAUCAUGUCAACACAUCCUGUUUAUCCUAUUCAAACAAAGUUGAUGGUAAUGUGGUUUUUGCCACACCAACUCCAUGGACAAGUAUUUCCCCUUCACAAAAAAUGUAAUGCAUGCAUCCCCUUCACAAAAAGUGUAAUGCAUGCACUAUACUCCGACGCAGCGUGUGACUCUGGCCCACCAUGUCGGAGCACGUAUGACAGUUGGCUAUGGACCGUGGUCUUGGGGAGAGGCGUGUCCCCUCUGCAGGAGCCGGUGGCUCUGUCAGAACUUCUCAGUGAAACCAAAAAAAGUCGGAUCCACCGACACCAAGCUCGACGACGAGAGGAAGACGCCGGAGACCGCCGCGCCGCCGNNNNNNNNNNNNNNNNNNNNNNNNNNNNNNNNNNNNNNNNNNNNNNNNNNNNNNNNNNNNNNNNNNNNNNNNNNNNNNNNNNNNNNNNNNNNNNNNNNNNNNNNNNNNNNNNNNNNNNNNNNNNNNNNNNNNNNNNNNNNNNNNNNNNNNNNNNNNNNNNNNNNNNNNNNNNNNNNNNNNNNNNNNNNNNNNNNNNNNNNNNNNNNNNNNNNNNNNNNNNNNNNNNNNNNNNNNNNNNNNNNNNNNNNNNNNNNNNNNNNNNNNNNNNNNNNNNNNNNNNNNNNNNNNNNNNNNNNNNNNNNNNNNNNNNNNNNNNNNNNNNNNNNNNNNNNNNNNNNNNNNNNNNNNNNNNNNNNNNNNNNNNNNNNNNNNNNNNNNNNNNNNNNNUCCCCGCCGGUCUCACCCGUCACCUGCCGAGGUCGCCGCGGCCGUCGCCGUAGCCCGACCGGGAGAGAGCUUGGGAGGGGAAGGGAGAGGGGAGAGAGAUACCUGAAAAAUUAAAAAAAAAGUUUUGUAGGACCCACCUACGACACCUUGUAUUGGGGAAGGGUAGCCUUAUCCUACGUGGCAUGGUAGGACUCCCAUGUGAGGAGCCUGCAUAUAAAAUGCCCUUGCCCUAAGGUCCAACGAUCUGGACCAUCAGACAAACAAAAUAGGAGAAAGUAGACUGAAUGGCAGUGUGAAUGACAUGCAAGGAAGAAGCUCUAUCAAACAAUGUUAAUAGUAAUGUAACUUCUGGUACACUGAUACUGUCAUAGACUGUUUGCCCUUCAACCCAAAGUGAUGUGAUCAGGAACUAAUAAUCUAAG
rnacentral:lncRNA from 1 species